UACGUAGGGGGCGAGCGUUGUCCGGAUUUACUGGGCGUAAAGCGCGUGUAGGCGGCUUGGCAAGUCGGGUGUGAAAGCCCCGGGCUCAACCUGGGAAGUGCACUCGAAACUGCUUCGCUUGAGUACUGGAGAGGGUAGUGGAAUUCUCGGUGUAGAGGUGAAAUUCGUAGAUAUCGAGAGGAACAUCGGUGGCGAAGGCGGCUACCUGGACAGUUACUGACGCUGAGACGCGAAAGCGUGGGGAGCAAACAGG
rnacentral:rRNA from 1 species